GACGAACGCUGGCGGCGUGCUUAACACAUGCAAGUCGAACGGAAAGGCCCUGCUUUUGUGGGGUGCUCGAGUGGCGAACGGGUGAGUAACACGUGAGUAACCUGCCCUUGACUUUGGGAUAACUUCAGGAAACUGGGGCUAAUACCGGAUAGGAUCUCCUGCUGCAUGGUGGGGGGUGGAAAGUUUCGGCGGUUGGGGAUGGACUCGCGGCUUAUCAGCUUGUUGGUGGGGUAGUGGCUUACCAAGGCUUUGACGGGUAGCCGGCCUGAGAGGGUGACCGGCCACAUGGGGACUGAGAUACGGCCCAGACUCCUACGGGAGGCAGCAGGGGGGAAUAUUGCACAAUGGGCGGAAGCCUGAUGCAGAGACGCCGCGUGCGGGAUGACGGCCUUCGGGUUGUAAACCGCUUUCGCCUGUGACGAAGCGUGAGUGACGGUAAUGGGUAAAGAAGCACCGGCUAACUACGUG
rnacentral:rRNA from 1 species